ensembl:lncRNA
GCACAACAUGACGAAUAUCUGUCAGGCUGUUUUGUUGUCUGAGCGCUGUACUCAGAUUAUUGAAUGGUGUGCUUUUUCGGUAAAGCUUUUUUGAAAUCUGACACAGUGGUUGCAUUAAGGAUAAGUUUAUCUACAGUUCCAUGUAUAACACUUGUAUUUUCAUCAACAUUUAUGAUGAGUAUUUCUGUAAAUUGAUGUGGCUCUCUCAAAAUCACCGGAUGUUUUGGAACUACUGAACAUAACACGCCAAUGUAAACUCCGAUUUUUGGAUAUAAAUAUGAACUUUAUCGAACAAAACACACAUGUAUUAUGUAACAUGAAGUCCUAUGAGUGUUAUCUGAUGAAGAUCAUCAAAGGUUAGUGAUUCAUUUUAUCUCUAUUUCUGCUUUUUGUGACUCCACACUUUGGCUGGAAAAGGACUGUGUUUUUCUGUGACUAGGUGCUUAACUAACAUAAUCGUUUGGUGUGCUUUUGCUUUAAAGCCUUUUUGAAAUCGGACACUGUGGCUGGAUUAACUAGAAGUUUAUCUUUAAAAUGGUGUAAAAUACUUGUAUGCUUGAGGAAUUUUAAUUAUGAGAUUCCUGUUGUUUUGAAUUUGGCGCCCUGCACUUUCACUGGCUGUUGUUGAGGUGGGACGCUAUCGUCCCGAAUAUCCCAGAGAGGUUAACAAAUUCAUGGUUUUAUCCACCCAAACAAUAGGAGUUUUUAAUUGAGGUGACCAGGUAGAAUGUGUAACUCGCACCAGUGCAACCAAUUAAAAAUGUAACUCGCACAACUAAGUCACAGGGUCUCAAAAUGUGUUUGCAUGUGCAUCCCUGUAUAUGUGUGUGUAUAAGAGAGAGAGACAAGGUAUUUUAUGGUGGGGAACGGGGAUGUACAUUUUUGGGGGAAAUAUACGAAGAGGAGAGGUGCCAACUGUAAACUAAGGGCAAAGAAAAACAUGGGACCCAGUGAGACAAACAGAAUGUCAGAGGAAGAUCACAUACUGUAUCUGUAAAUGGAGUCUCCUCGAAAAUGCAAUGCAAUUAUGAUCACCCAUUUCAACCUUCUAAACAGCCAAAUACGAACCCCAUCUUGAACCAAUAACGACCUCUCAACACAUCCUGUCAGCUAUCAUUCAGUCACCAUUCACUCGUGAACAUUAUUUAUGUUUGACUUUUUAAUCAUAUAGCAGACGUUCUUAUCCAGAGCGACUUGUAGGAGCAAUAGAGGUUAAGUGCCUUGUUCAAGGGCACAUCAACAGAUAUUUCCACUUGUCGGCUGAGGAAUCCGAAUCAGCCACCUUUCGGUUACUGGCCUAAUGCUCUAAACUGCUAGGCUAUCUGCCACCGUGACAUUAACUCCUCAAAAGUUUUACUUCUAGGGUGCAAUAACCUUUAGGGUUAAGUUUAGGCAUGAAUAAUGAGUGGUUAAGGUUAGGGUUUGGGUGUUAAAACAGAACAACUAAAAUCAAUUGAACCUGUGAUGUCCGGAGCCACAGCUCACGUUUUCACCUGUUCUCAACCCCAUCCACAACACUCUUGCUCAUCGCGUGCCUAUUAGAUGUUAACAGGCAAUUAACACACAUAAGACACGCACACACACACACACCAUGGAAAACUACAACUGAGUGACAGGAAGCAGUGGAGGACUACAACAGAAUGACAUGAAGACUCUGAACACCUGACACCCCAAACACCCACUUCCUCACACACACUUAACUGCUCUACCACUUGCUUACGCCACACACCUAGACACACAUCCCCUCUCUACCCUUUUGUCUACCCUCUCUAUUGACAGAUGUCAUUGAAGGAUCAUGGCACCCCCAUUGUCCUAUGACAAUAACGCUGUUGGAGCACAACACAGCCCAGAGGGAGAAAGAGGGAGACACACACACAGACUAAAGACCUGAGCCCUAGGACCAUGCCCCAGGACUACCUGACAUGAUGACUCCUUGCUGUCCCCAGUCCACCUGGCCGUGCUGCUGCUCCAGUUUCAACUGUUCUGCCUUAUUAUUAUUCGACCAUGCUGGUCAUUUAUGAACAUUUGAACAUCUUGGCCAUGUUCUGUUAAAAUCUCCACCUGGCACAGCCAGAAGAGGACUGGCCACCCCACAUAGCCUGGUUCCUCUCUAGGUUUCUUCCUAGGUUUUGGCCUUUCUAGGGAGUUUUUCCUAGCCACCGUGCUUCUACACCUGCAUUGCUUGCUGUUUGGGGUUUUAGGCUGCGUUUCUGUACAGCACUUUGAGAUAUCAGCUGAUGUACGAAGGGCUAUAUAAAUACAUUUGAUUUGAUUUGAUUUGAUAUGCAGGGCCGUGCAUAGGGCUUUCAGGGGGGUAGGUGCUCAAAAUGAAAAAGUAGCCUCUGUCAUUCUUGAAGGAAAGAUGUUUGAAACCACCAAGACUCUUCCUAGAACUGGACGCCCGGCCAAACUGAGCAAUUGGGGGAGAAGGGCCUUGGUCAGGGAGGUGAGCAAGAACCCGAUGGUCACUCUGACAGGGCUCCAGAGUCCCUCUGUGGAGAUGGCAGAACCUUCCAAAAGGACAAAAGUCUCUGCAGCACUCCACCAAUCAGGCCAUUAUGGUAGAGGGGCCAGACGGAAGCCAUUCUUCAGAAAAAGGCACAUGACAGCCUGCUUGGAGUUUGCCAAAAGGCACCUCAAGAUUCUCUGGUCUGAUGAAACAGAGGUAAACUCUGAAUGACAAAGUCACAUCUGGAGGACACCUGGCACUAUCCCUAUGGUGAAGCGUGGUGGCAGCAUCAUGCUGUAGGGAUGUUUUUCAGCGACAGGGACUGGGAGACUAGUCAGGAUCGAGGGAAAGAUGAACGGAGCGAUCCUUGAUGAAAACCUACUCCAGAGCACUCAGGACCGCAGACUGGGGUGAAGGUUCACCUUCCAACAGGACAAUGACCCUAAGCACACAGCCAAGACAACGCAGUAGUGGGUUCCAGACAAGUCUCUGAAUUUUCUUCACUCUGUGGUCCAACUCAUCCCAAACUAUCUCAAUUGGCCACACACCUGGGGGUCCCUUGUAUUAAGAGUCAGUGUGGAGGACGUGUUGUUGUUGCCAAUCGUCGUAGCCUGUGGUCUGCCCAGUCCAGGAUCCAGUUACAAAGGGCGAUGUCCAGACCAAGGGCUCUGACCGCAGAGCUUGGAGGAAACAAUAGUGUUGAAUGUUAAACUGUAGUGAAUGAACAGCAUUCUCACAUAGGUGAUCCUCUUGUCCAGAUGUGUUAUGGCUGUGUUAAUAGUGAUGGAAAUGGCAUCGUCCGUGGAUCUGCUGGAUAUGUUGCAGAAUCAGAAAGAACAGUCUGUGGCGUGAUUUUCCGGGCCUUACUUUCACACCGCCUGAUAUAGAGGUCCUGGAUGUCAGGGAUCUCGGCCCCAGUGAUGUACUGGGCUGUCCACACAAACCUCUUUUGUGCCAUGCGCUCAAGGGGGGUGCUGUUGCCAUACCAAGCAUUGAUGCAACCAGUCAAGAUGCUCUCAUUGGUGCAGCUGUAGAACUUCUUGAGGAUUUGAGGGGACAUGACAAACCUUUUCUCCCUCCUGAGGGGAAGAGGCACUGUCAUGCCUUCUUCACGACUGGGCUUGUAUGUGUGGAUCAUUUUAAGUCCUUUGGACACCGAGGAACUUGAAGCUCUUGACCCGCUCUACUGCAGCUCCUUCGACAUCGCUGCACAGUAGGAACUUCCAGCCAAGUAGGUAAUGGUAGAAUUGGCGGGUGUAGCUGACAAUGGCCCGUAACUCAUUCCUGGUGACCCAGUACUUCUGCUGAGCUGGCGUGAGGUGGGUGCUUGCAUAGGUGAUAACUCUCUCUUCUGCCCACUGUAGAUGUGACAGCACUGCUCUAAUGAUGUGGUUGGUGGCAUGCAUGUCAAGGGUGUACUUCCCUUCUGCAGCUGGAUACUCUAGCACUGGGGCUGUUGUCAGUUUCACCUGACUGAAGGCAUUCUGGUGCUCUGCUCUCCACAAUAAUUUAGCUUCCUUCUUGAGGAAAAUAUUGAGUGGGCUGGCCAGUACCGCAAAUGCUGGGACGAACUUGCGGUAGUAAUUGCAUAAUCCUAUGAAGGCUUGCACUUCUUGCACAUUACUACGAGGUUGCCAGGUUUGCACAUCCUUGAUCAGAGCAGGGUUGGGACUUAUGCCUUCACCACUCAUGACAUGCCUUAAGAACAGGAAUUCUUACUUGAGCAGGUGACACUUUGAUGGCUUCAGCUUCAGACCGUAGCUGUGAAGGAGUUGGAAGACAUCUGCAAGCAGUUCUAGGCUCUCAUCAACUCCUCUCCCCAGGAUGAUGAUGUCCUCCAGAUAGAUUAAUAGUGUUUCCCAUUGGAGUCCAUGGAGGACGAGCUCCAUUGGCCCUCUGAAAUGUGGGGCGUUACAAAGGCCGAAUGGCAUGCAGAUACAAUCAUAGAGCCCAUAUUUAGUGAUAAACACCAUCUUCUCCUGGUCCUUUUCAUCCACUGCUAUCAGCCUGUAGCCAGAAUGAAGAUCUAACGUGGAGACGACAUUGGAUCCCCCAAGGACGUCUAGACACACUUCCCUCUUCGGGAAAGGCUAUGCAUCCUUGGCUGUCAGGCUAUUGAGGCGGCGGUAAUCGACAUACCAGCGGAUUCCACAAUCUUUACAAACUAUGACAACGGGGGAUGCCCACUCUGAGGAGGAUGGUGUGACGACACCUGCUUCCACCAUUGCCUUGAAGUGCAUUUCCUCUUUUCCUUGGACUCCGAGAAAUAUCCGUCGUAUCGGUUGAUGUACUGGCCUAGCCGCUCCAGUGUGGGUGACAGCAGACAUGUAGCCUAAGUCAAUGUUGUUCAUUGCAAAAAGGGACAUUGACUGUUGUUGUUUUUCCCUACUGAAUGCCUCGCUUGAAGCAACAAACAUGGCCUGGAGAUGUUCAGGUAGGUCUGAUGCAGCAGUCACUUUUUUCAUCUCUGGCCGCAGUGUGCUUUAAGACUGUUCCCCAGGAGUGCAUGCUUCAUCCUGCUCAACUGGACUAGAUGGGUUGGAGGGAUCAUCAGGAAUGUUUUGACCAGGACGCCAAGGCACAUUUUGGUUGUGGUGACACUUUCUGUUAGAGGCAGUAACACCAGGCUUCGGAUGGUCAACUUCACCCCAGACUAGACAUUUCACACUCUGAUGGCGAGGUUGCGUCUUUCUCCAGGAGCACCCGAGCUACGAAGUAGUCUGAUCCGUCGCCUCCAGCGAUUUUGGCAGUCAAAGGUUCCUCCUUGAUAAAGACUCUUCCGCUGGCAUAGAUAGUUACAUUUCCAGCUCUCAACAGGUCCAGGCUGAGGAGGACAGAGUCACCUCCUAUUCAUAGCUCCUGGUGCCGAUAUGGAAUGUAACUUUUGAUCCAUCCACUGCAGUCAUGUCUUUCCCCAACUCAGCAUUCUGAACUCAUGUCUUCUUGAGAGAAGUUUUCUCACUCACAGGGAGCUGCUCGUAAAGGCUCUCAGAGAUGAUUGUCAUUUCAGCUCCAGUGUCUACCACAGCCUGGACUGGGAGGCUGUCGACUGUCAGAGCUAUCUGCAAGCUGCAGCUACUCUAUACACUGCUGCUACUCUGUUUAUCAUAUAUCCUAAUGCCUAGUCACAUUACCCCUAUACAUACACUAUAUAUACAAAAGCGUGUGGACACCCUUUCAAAUGAGUGGAUUCGGCUAUUUCAGCCACACCCGUUGCUGACAGGUGAUAGAAUUGAGCACACAGCCAUGCAAACUCCAUAGACAAAUAUUGGCAGUAGAAUGGCCUUACUGAAGAGCUCAGGGACUUUCAAUGUGACACUGUCAUAGGAUGCCACAUUACCAACAAGUCAGUUCAUCAAAUUUCUGCCCUGCUAGAGCUGCCCGGGUCAACUGUAAGUGCUGUUAUUGUGAACGUCUAGGGGCAACAACAGCUCAGCCGCAAAGUGGCAGACCACACAAGCUCAAAGAACAGGACAACCCAGUGCUGAAACGCAUAGCUUCCUCGGUUGCAACACUCACUACCAAGUUCCAAACUGUCACUGGAAGCAACAUCAGCACAAAAACUAUUCGUCAGGAGCUUCAUGAAAUCGGUUUCCAUGGCCGAGCGGCCGCACACUAGCCUAAGAUAACCAUGCGCAAUGCCAAGCGUUGUACGGAGUGGUGUAAAGAUCACCGCCAUUGGACUCUGGAGCAGUGGACAUGCAUUCUCUGGAGUGAUGAAUCACGCUUCACCAUCUAGCAGUCUGACGGACGAAUCUGGGUUUGGCGGAUGUCAGGAGAACGCUACCUGCACCAAUGCAUAGUGUCAACUGUAAAGUUUGGCGGAGGAGGAAUAAUGGUCUGGGAUUAUUUUUCAUGGUUUUGGGCUAGGAUCCUUUGUUCCAGUGAAGGGAAAUAUUAACACUACUAGAUACAAUUACCGUGCACAAAGCGAGGUCCAUACAGAAAUGGUUUGUGCAGGCCAGUCAACUGCACAGAGCCCUGACCUUUGGGAUGAAAUGGAACACUGACUGUGAGCUAGGCCUCAUAGUCAUGUUCCAAAAUCUUGUGGAAAGCCUUCCCCGAAGAGUGGAGGCUGUUAUAGCAGCAAAGGGGGGACCAAGUCCAUUAAUGCCUUUGGAAUGAGAUGUUCUACCUCUACCGCUCCAGUAUCCCAGGACUUUUUAGUGUUGUUCUUAUUUCUUAUACUUUAUUUUAUAGUACAACACAAUAUAUUGAUAUUGAUUACUGCAUUGUUGGGAAAAGAGCUUGCAAGAAAGUCAUUUCACUGUACUUGUGCACGUGACAAUAAAACUUGAAAUCACCAUUAGAAAAUGCUUUGUGUGGUAAUACUUUAUUUACUGUUUUAUUCAAUUUUUCAAGUACUAUUGACAAAUCCUACAUUCCGAUUAUUGAAUAGAUUGUAAUGGACACAUAUGACGUGUGUAUAAAACGUUUUUAUAGUUCCUCUGUGUCCACAUCACUAAGGGCCUAUCAUGGUCCAAACACACCAACACAGUCGUGAAGAGGGCACGACAAAGCCUCUUCCCCCUCUGGAGGCUGAAAGGUUUUGGCAUCCUCAAAACGUUCUACAGCUGCACCAUUGAGAGCAUCUUGGCUGCAUCACUGCUUAGUAUGGCAACUGCAUGUAUUCUGACCUCAAGGCACUACAGAGGGUAGAAUGUGUGGCCCGAUACAUCACUGAGGCCGAGCUCCCUGCCAUGCAGGCCCUAAAAAUUGUAAAAGACUCCAGCCGUCCAAGUCAUAGACUAUUCUCUCUGCUACCGCACGGCAAGUGGUACCGGAGUGCCAAGUCUGGGACAAAAAGGCUCCUUAACAGCUUCUACCCCAAAGCCAUAAGACUGAUGAACAGUUAAUCAAAUCGCUACCAGGACUAUUUGCAUUGACCACCUUUUUUUUUGGAACUGACGUUGUUGCACUGGCUCUAUGCACACACAGACACAUCUUACACUGACACUCAAACAUAAACACACACACAGACACAUCUUACACUGACACUCAAACAUAAACACACACACACACAGAGACACACAUCUUACACUGACACUCAAACAUAAACACACACACACACACACACA